CCCUAGCUAUGUGGCUGCCAUCACUCACCACCACCACCACUAAAUCUCUUCUCUUUCACUCUCUCUAUACGAAAAGAUUAUUGAAUCUGUAGAUAUGAUCUUUCUCGAGUAAAAACCCUAACGACGAUGUUGAAUCACAGAGAAAGCUGCAGCUGAGGAGUUAUUCGAUGUUAUAAGCAUGGUUAGGGUUUUCAAUCUCUCGAGGAGUCAUCUUCAUCAUACUUGGAUUUAUGGAAGAUACGAUGAGGUCCAGGUUGAUCUUCUCAGGAAAGAACCUAUCGAUCUCUACAACGUUAACACCUUCAAACAGUCUGUGGUAAGAAAAACAACAGCAGGUCCUGUACUUUUGAUUUUGUAGAAUUUAAUCUGAAUUUCAGGUAGAUAAGCCCCACUGCUCAAACCAUCAGCAUGAUGCUCAGCAUGGUAAUAGUUCUGUUAAUGUCUUGUAUUCACUAAACUGAAGUUCUGAUUUAUGGAUGUGGGUUGUGAUUUUGGUUCAGUUUUUUAUGAUUUGUUGAAACAGAAGAUGUUGAAACCUGACUCCCUCAACACUCUAAAACUAUAAUUAGUGAUUUGGAGUCUAGAGAGUUAUCUCAUGAGUAAUUUUGCUUUCUUGAUUUUACUGACCUACAUUCUCUUUGUUGUCCACUAUCAGGUUUCUAGUUGAGCUCACAAAGGCUUUAAUGUGACAAAUUUCUAGUAGCUUCAUCAACAUUUGAUCACAUUUCCACAGGCCUCUGUUUUGGUGCUUCCUUUUAUGAGAAUUUAGCAUAAGUUUGGUUGAAAGAGCCAACUUCAAUCCAAGGGAAGGCUAACCCAAGCUAGAUUAUACUCUCAACUAUUCCUUUUUUUCUAUAUAUGUAUGCAUUCAUGACAUCCUUUCUUACUCAGAUGUUUACUGUCUUUGAACUAUGCACGCGUGUAGCACAGAUUCAGCUGAAGCUCGUAUAUUAAAAGCUUCAAAUGUGGCCUUAAUCAUGAAUGGUGGAAGUAAAUUCAAUGCUUGUAAUCCAGUGGUUCCGAUAAAGACCUAAUGCGAAAUUAACCGCAUAUUGCUUGGGUGUUCUCAAGGCAACAAAUGGGAAUUUCAUUGGCAGUAAGGGAUAAGAAAUAUCUGAAAAAGAAGAGAUCCAAAAAGAAUUAUCAUGGUUACUUCAUGGAGAAGAUUGAUCCAGGGAUGGUCAUUGCAGCAGGAAAGUAUGUUCAAGAAGUAGCUGCCCCUCUUGGUCAAUAUUUUUGCAAGUCCUUCUGCCAGUCCAGGUUCACCAAUGGUUCCAUGUUUUAUUUAUUUAUAUUUUUUAGUAGGUUCUCUAUACGAACGUAUAAUUUUCAUAUAUCUGUAUUGCUAUUUGGAACUCCACAGAUUGUAGUUUGUUGAACUUGUAAAAUGAAUUCUG